rnacentral:rRNA from 1 species
UUAGAGUUUGAUCCUGGCUCAAGAUGAACGCUGGCGGCGCGCCUAACACAUGCAAGUCGAACGGCACCCCUCCUCGGAGGGAAGCGAGUGGCGAACGGCUGAGUAACACGUGGAGAACCUGCCCCCUCCCCCGGGAUAGCCGCCCGAAAGGACGGGUAAUACCGGAUACCCCGGGGUGCCGCAUGGCACCCCGGCUAAAGCCCCGACGGGAGGGGAUGGCUCCGCGCCCCAUCAGGUAGACGGUGGGGUGACGGCCCUCCGUGCCGACAGGGGGUAGCGGGGUUGAAAAACAGACCGGCCAGAUUGGGACUGAGACACGGCCCACACUCCUAAGGGAGGCAGCAGUGGGGAAUCUUGCGCAGUGGGGGGAACCUGGACCCAGCAACGCUGCGUGCGGGACGGGAGGCCUUCGGGGUCGUAAACCGCUUUCAGCAGGGAAGAGUCAAGACUGUACCUGCAGAAGAAGCCCCGGCUAACUACGUGCCAGCAGCCGCGGUAAUACGUAGGGGGCGAGCGUUAUCCGGAUUCAUUGGGCGUAAAGCGCGCGUAGGCGCCCCGGCAGGCCGGGGGUCGAAGCGGGGGGCUCAACCCCCCGAAGCCCCCGGAACCUCCGCGGCUUGGGUCCGGUAGGGGAGGGUGGAACACCCGGUGUAGCGGUGGAAUGCGCAGAUAUCGGGUGGAACACCGGUGGCGAAGGCGGCCCUCUGGGCCGAGACCGACGCUGAGGCGCGAAAGCUGGGGGAGCGAACAGGAUUAGAUACCCUGGUAGUCCCAGCCGUAAACGAUGGACGCUAGGUGUGGGGGGACGAUCCCCCCGUGCCGCAGCCAACGCAUUAAGCGUCCCGCCUGGGGAGUACGGCCGCAAGGCUAAAACUCAAAGGAAUUGACGGGGGCCCGCACAAGCAGCGGAGCAUGUGGCUUAAUUCGAAGCAACGCGAAGAACCUUACCAGGGCUUGACAUAUGGGUGAAGCGGGGGAGACCCCGUGGCCGAGAGGAGCCCAUACAGGUGGUGCAUGGCUGUCGUCAGCUCGUGUCGUGAGAUGUUGGGUUAAGUCCCGCAACGAGCGCAACCCCCGCCGCGUGUUGCCAUCGGGUGAUGCCGGGAACCCACGCGGGACCGCCGCCGUCAAGGCGGAGGAGGGCGGGGACGACGUCAAGUCAUCAUGCCCCUUAUGCCCUGGGCUGCACACGUGCUACAAUGGCCGGUACAGAGGGAUGCCACCCCGCGAGGGGGAGCGGAUCCCGGAAAGCCGGCCCCAGUUCGGAUUGGGGGCUGCAACCCGCCCCCAUGAAGUCGGAGUUGCUAGUAAUCGCGGAUCAGCAUGCCGCGGUGAAUGCGUUCCCGGGCCUUGCACA